CCAGGCUGCCGGGGUGAGUGUGAGUGUGAGAGCGAGAACAGCCCGGCAGGUCCCGAGGCGCCGGCUGGGGACUCUACGCGGAAAGUUCCCAGUCCCCAGCCGCAGGUAUUUUCCCUGCCACUGAUCAUGGAAAGAAAUCUUCGAGAAGGGGAAAAAGUUGCACACGGGCCACCGAUCGGCAGGGAUCACCUCAUUAAGGGACUCUAAGCGAGGUUGGCAGGGGGACAUUUAAAAAGUAGAUCGAAUGUGACAUGUGUCAAUCAAUCUAAGCGUGAGGCUCGGGGGUCCGUGUGGAGAGGAGCGAAGCGUGGGAGCCGGGGCCGGGGUGGGUCCUCCAAAGCGGAGGGAUUCACGCGAGGGACUGGGCUGGAGGAGCCCGAGACGUGCAGACGCCUUAGACGUGCCUCUGCCCUCCCUGAAAGCACGGCCACGUACCCGCGGACGAACUGAGCUGGGCACCUGGCUUCUAGUUAUCUGCAGGGUGGCAAUGAAAUGUUUUGAGGUCUUCAAGCUGACUCAUCAGAAUCACGGAGCCGUGUAAAAAUGACGUUUAUACCAACUAUGUCCAAACUCCUAUGGCGUCCAAGUGGUUGCAAUGGCACCCAUGUCUUGGGUCAGUCCUGUGGCCAGUCCUGUGGCCAUAUUAAAGGAGAUAUCUUGACUGAGGAGGAUCACAGAGUAGUAAGUUGAUGGCCUCAUAGGGCCUUCUGAUGGUUGACUAAAAUACAACUGAUUGCCGUCUCAGAAGCUGUCACUUACAGAGCAUGCUAUGCAUCUAUUGAAUUGGGGACUUUCAUUUUGUGCCAUAUCCUCAAAAGGAAUAACAUGUGAGUUUGGGAAUCAAUAGUUUGUAACAGCAGGUACGAUGGCUAAUGCUGUUUGUUAACCUGGCUGGGCCAUAGAGCCUAGAUAGCUGGUUAAAUAUUGUUCAUGCUAUUUCUCUGGGUGUAUUUUUGGAUGAGAUUUAAAUUGAUGGAUAUUGAGGAAAGCAAAUUUCUCUGUGUAAUGUGAUGGGCCACAUUAAGUCAAUUAAAGCCUAAAUAGAAUAAAACAUAAGAGAGAAUUCUCCCAAGCAAGAAACAAUUCUGCCUGCCCACCUGGGAUGCCAGUCUCUCAGAAAAUCUCUCUCUCUCUCUCUCUCUUCUUUCCUCGCUCCUGAGUAUUGCCUCUAUGACAAUGCA
rnacentral:lncRNA from 1 species